UUCUUCAAGGUGCUGAAGCGUGGUGUCGGUGGUACAUAGAUAAAUUUAUUUAAAUGACUGUAUGCCUCGUAUUUUUCGAAAAUUGUGAUAAUAAAAGCACAUAACUCCGGUUUCUAGUUCGUAUUAGGUUGAACAUGGCAUCAGAUGAAGUUGAAGACGAGUCUUUCGCCGGCGGUGAUGACGAAGUUGGGGAGGAAGCAAGUGCAAGUACCUCACGUCCUGAAGGUACAACUGAGGAAAAUUCACCAGAAUCAGAGGAAGGACCACAAGGAGGGCAGGAAGAAGACGAUGAGUAUGAGCCAGAAGAUGGUCGCAAUAAACGAAAGAAAGGAAAGAAGAGAAAAGCCAAAGGAGAAGACAAGAAGGGGAAGAAAAAGAAAAAGAAGAAAAAAGCUGAUAGUGGCGAGGAAAGUGACUAUGGAUAUGAUGAAGAAGGUGGUGGCAAUGACUCGGAUUUCAGUGGUAACCGCAAGUCACGUAAAUCUCGUAGCACGCCAAAACAUACUCCCACUCCUCUCGUCCAGGACUCUAAUUCUGGAAUGCCUACUGUGGAGGAAGUGUGUGAAACAUUUGGUUUGACAGACGUUGAUGUAGAAUACACAGAGGCAGAUUUCCAGAAUCUGACUACUUAUAAGUUGUUCCAGCAGCACGUGCGGCCGUUACUUACGAAGGAAAAUCCCAAGGUGCCAAUGUCCAAAUUAAUGAUGUUGGUUGCAGCGAAGUGGAGAGAUUUUACAAACAUUAAUCCCAACACAGAACAGGAACAGGAAUCUGUGUCGGACGAAAGCUACAGCCGGAAACCAAGCCGUUCGAGAACGUCUAAGGAAACGUCAAAGGGUGAAGAUGGAGGAAUGGAUGAUGAAGAGGAGGAGGAUCGGGAAGAGAAGAAUAAGAAGAAACGAAGUAAUCGAAGUAACAAAAAGUCAAGCAAAAAAAACACCAAAGUUCCCACACUCAAAAUAAAACUAGGCAAACGCAAACGUGGAAGUUCGGAGGAGGAGGGUGAAGGCAGUGGAGGUUCAGAUCGUGACUCAGAUGCCGAGUUUGAACAAAUGCUACAGGAAGCAGAGGAAGGUUCGAAAACACCAGAAGACGGUGCAGAUGAAGAAGCAGAAUCUGGCAGUGGUGAUGCUAAUAGCAGUCAAGCAGCAGCUCCUCGGCGGAAAGCGAAAACGAAAAUUGGUAAUAAAAGCAAGAAAAAGAAGAAGACUAAAACAACAUCGAAGUUCCCCAGUGGUGAGGGUGAAGAUGGUUAUGAAACUGAUCACCAAGACUACUGUGAAGUGUGCCAGCAAGGUGGUGAAAUAAUACUCUGUGAUACGUGUCCUCGAGCAUAUCAUCUUGUCUGUCUUGAUCCAGAGUUAGAAGAGACUCCAGAAGGCAAAUGGUCAUGCCCACAUUGUGAGGGGGAAGGGGUUCAGGAACAGGAUGAUGAUGAGCACAUGGAGUUUUGCAGAGUUUGCAAAGAUGGUGGCGAGCUUUUGUGCUGUGACUCUUGUCCUUCAGCAUAUCACACGUUUUGUUUAAAUCCACCACUUAAGGACAUCCCUGACGGAGAUUGGAAGUGUCCACGUUGCUCAUGCAAACCACUUCCUGGUAAAGUGUCAAAGAUAUUAACGUGGCGUUGGUCAGAGGUCAAAGGCAAAGAUGGAGAUGAAAAGCAGUCUGAUGAACCAUCGAGUAGCAAAGGACAGCGAAAACCACCUCGUUUCAGGGAAUUCUUUGUCAAGUGGCAUGAAAAAUCAUACUGGCAUUGUGACUGGGUGUCAGAAAUACAGAUGGAUGUAUUUCACCCACUUAUGAUACGGAGUUACAUGCGUAAGUAUGAUAUGGAUGAACCACCAAAAUUGGAUGAACCAUUGGAUGAAAUGGAUAAUCGCAUGAAGCGCAUUAAGGAAGCAAAUGCAGAUGACCAGAUGCUUGAAGAUAAGUACUACAGGUAUGGUAUUAAGCCCGAGUGGAUGAUUGUACACCGUAUAAUCAACCACCGUGUCAUGCGUGAUGGCCGGACACUUUACUUGGUAAAAUGGCGGGACUUGUCUUACGAUCAGGCAACGUGGGAAGAUGAGAAUGAGAAUAUCUUGGGUCUGAAGCAAGCAAUAGAAUAUUACAAUGAUUUGAGGGCAUCUUACAAUAUGGACAGCAGCUGUAAGAAAGGCAAAAAAGGCAAAGGCAAGAAAACAAAAACGAAAGAAUUAUUAGAUGAAGAAGCAGCAAACAGUGAUAAGAACCAGCCGCGACGAUAUACUCCACCUCCUGAUAAGCCACUGACUGAUCUUAAGAAGAAGUUAGACAAGCAACCAGAAUACAUUGACCAGACAGGGAUGCAGCUUCAUCCGUAUCAACUUGAAGGUCUUAACUGGUUAAGAUAUUCGUGGGGGCAAGGCACAGACACCAUCCUAGCUGAUGAAAUGGGGCUGGGAAAAACUAUUCAGACUAUCACAUUCUUGUACUCCUUAUACAAGGAGGGACACUGUAAAGGACCUUUUCUGCUAAGUGUCCCGCUUUCUACAAUAAUAAACUGGGAACGUGAAUUUGAAACCUGGGCCCCAGAUUUCUAUGUAGUGACUUACGUUGGAGACAAAGAUUCACGUGCUGUUAUUAGGGAGAAUGAACUUUCAUUUGAAGAAGGAGCAGUGAGAGGUGGUCGGGUCUCUAGAAUAAGGGCGUCAACUAUAAAGUUCAAUGUUUUGCUAACUAGCUAUGAGCUCAUCUCGAUAGAUGCUGCUUGUCUGGGAUCCAUAGACUGGGCUGUGCUCGUUGUUGAUGAAGCACACAGGCUUAAAAGCAACCAGUCAAAGUUUUUUCGGCUUCUCGCAAGUUACAACAUUCAGUACAAAUUAUUGUUGACUGGAACACCACUGCAGAACAACCUGGAAGAACUUUUUCACUUGUUAAAUUUCCUGUGCCGUGAGAAAUUUAAUGAUUUGGCAUCAUUUCAAAAUGAAUUUGCGGAUAUUUCAAAGGAGGAUCAGGUGAAGAAGCUUCACGAAUUGCUGGGACCUCAUAUGCUGAGAAGACUAAAAGCUGAUGUCCUUAAAAGUAUGCCUUCAAAAUCAGAAUUCAUUGUUAGAGUUGAAUUAUCACCUAUGCAGAAGAAGUAUUACAAAUUUAUAUUAACAAGAAAUUUUGAAGCGUUAAAUCCAAAAGGUGGUGGACAGCAGGUUUCUUUGCUGAACAUUAUGAUGGAUCUGAAGAAGUGCUGCAAUCACCCUUACCUUUUCCCUGCAGCAGCACAGGAAGCGCCAACUACUCUUAGUGGCACAUAUGAAACAUCAGCACUCAUCAAAGCUUCAGGGAAGCUAGUAUUGCUGUCAACAAUGCUGCGUAAGCUUAAGGAACAGGGUCACAGAGUCCUCAUCUUCUCACAAAUGACGAAAAUGCUGGACAUACUAGAAGACUAUUUGGAAGGUGAAGGAUAUAAAUAUGAACGUAUUGAUGGUAACAUUACUGGCUCAGUAAGGCAAGAGGCCAUUGACAGGUUCAAUGCUCCAGGAGCUCAGCAGUUCGUUUUUUUGCUGUCAACCAGGGCUGGUGGGCUUGGAAUAAACUUAGCAACAGCUGACACCGUUAUUAUCUACGAUUCAGAUUGGAAUCCACAUAAUGAUAUUCAGGCAUUCUCUCGAGCUCAUCGUAUUGGACAGGCUAACAAGGUGAUGAUAUAUCGAUUUGUUACACGUAACUCUGUAGAAGAACGUGUUACCCAAGUAGCAAAGCGGAAGAUGAUGUUAACUCACUUGGUUGUAAGACCAGGAAUGGGUGGACGUGGAGCAACAUUCUCUAAGCAAGAACUUGAUGAUAUCCUCAGAUUUGGAACUGAGGAAUUGUUUAAGGAAGAAGAGGGUAAAGAAGAUGAGGCAAUUCACUAUGAUGAUAAAGCCAUAGAUGAAUUGCUGGAUCGUUCCAAAGAAGGUAUUGAACAAAAAGAAAACUGGGCAAAUGAAUACCUGUCUUCUUUCAAAGUUGCAAGUUAUGUCACGAAGGAGGGUGAGGAGGAGGAAGAACCAACAGAAAUUAUUAAGCAGGAAGCUGAGAACACUGAUCCUGCAUACUGGGUUAAGCUUCUCAGGCACCAUUAUGAACAGCAGCAAGAAGACAUGGCAAGAACUCUGGGCAAAGGCAAAAGAGUUCGCAAACAGGUUAAUUACAAUGAUGGUACUGUUGAAGGACGUGACGAUGCUACAUGGCAAGAAAACCUCUCGGACUAUAACUCUGACUUCUCCGCUCCUUCUGAUGAUGAUAAAGAAGAUGAUGACUUUGAUGAGAAGAAUGAUGAUGCCAGUCGCCGUAGUCGUAGGCGACCAGAAAGGAAAGAGGAGCGUGACAGACCACUACCGCCACUUCUUGCUCGUGUUGGUGGAAACAUUGAGGUAUUAGGUUUCAAUGCCCGGCAGCGUAAAGCAUUCUUGAAUGCGAUAAUGCGUUAUGGCAUGCCACCACAGGAUGCUUUCAAUUCUCAGUGGUUUCUUGGCAGGUUGGUGCGCGACUUGCGUGGCAAGUCAGAGAAGAACUUCAAAGCUUAUGUUUCUCUCUUCAUGCGCCAUUUGUGUGAACCUGGUGCUGAUAAUGCUGAAACAUUUGCUGAUGGCGUUCCCCGGGAGGGGCUUAGUCGGCAGCAUGUGUUAACUAGAAUAGGGGUGAUGUCACUCAUUCGCAAAAAGGUCCAGGAAUUUGAGCACAUAAACGGUUACUACAGUAUGCCUGAACUUAUACGAAAACCUGUGGACCCUGUGAAGGAGAGCAGUGAAACACCAAGAAGUACCACGACUAGCACAAGUGCUACUCCAGCUACCAGUGCAGCUCCAAGCCCAGCACCGACUCUAAAUAGUCAAGAUGAUAAGGCAGAAGAUCUGUCUGGGCGUGAAGAUAAGGAUAAGGACUUGAGUACCACCAAAGAAGACAACGAGAAGAAAGAUGAGCUUCCCUUAACAGCAGACCAAAAACCAUCUACAGAUGAUCCUGAAAGGACAAGUCCUUCUGUUGACAAGCCAGAACCUGCUGGUGUGCCAGCUCCAGUAGAAAACUUGGGAGAAAUAAAAAUGGAGCCAGAUUCCACUGGAUCAAACGGCGUUCCAGAGGAGCGCAAAAUGGAUGUAGAAACAGGAGCCCCAUCAGGGGUCGUCCGUGAUGACACAGAAGCAGAAAAAAGCUCAGAACAGCAAGAUGCCACUCUCAGCUCUGAAAUUAAAGUAAAGGAAGAACCAGGCGCUACUCUGUCACAAACAUUAGUUAAGAAGGACGAUGAUGAUGUUAUGGUUGUCAAAGAUGAUGAUGAGAAGAGGCCUGUGGAAGAAAAGAAGGAGCUGUUAGUCAAAGAUGAGAUGAGGAAGGAAGAGAGUGUAAAAAUUGUGGAAGACAUGAAAUUGGUUGAAGAUCUCACUGGUCCAGAUAAACCAAAGAGGAAGUUCAUGUUCAAUAUUGCAGAUGGAGGGUUUACAGAAUUACAUACCCUGUGGCUUAAUGAAGAGAAAGCUGCUGUUCCUGGUCGAGAAUAUGAAAUAUGGCAUCGUAGACAUGAUUAUUGGCUGUUGGCUGGGAUUGUAACACAUGGCUAUGGAAGAUGGCAAGAUAUCCAGAAUGAUAUUCGGUUUGCCAUUAUCAACGAGCCCUUCAAGAUGGAUGUUGGCAAAGGCAACUUCCUAGAAAUCAAAAACAAGUUUUUGGCUAGGAGAUUUAAGCUUUUGGAACAGGCACUUGUAAUUGAAGAGCAACUGCGCAGAGCAGCUUACCUGAACCUCACACAGGAUCCUAAUCAUCCAGCAAUGUCACUAAAUGCGCGUUUCGCAGAAGUAGAGUGUCUUGCUGAAUCACAUCAGCAUCUCUCUAAAGAGUCUCUUGCUGGAAAUAAACCAGCAAAUGCUGUACUCCAUAAGGUGCUGAAUCAGUUGGAAGAACUGUUAUCGGAUAUGAAAUCUGAUGUGAGUAGGUUACCAGCUACUUUAGCAAGGAUACCUCCUGUGGCACAACGUUUGCAAAUGUCGGAGCGGUCCAUACUUUCGAGGUUAGCUGCAACAACCACCUCGGGCAGUACGGCUACAACUCCAACAACAUCACAGCAAGGAGCUGCCGCACUCCUGAGCUCACAGUUCCCAGGAGCAUUCCAAGCUGCACAGUUGCCAGCUGCUUUCUCUGCAGCGAAUUUUGCGAACUUCAGACCACAGUAUUCUGUGCCCGGUCAACCACCACAAGGUUUUCCAGAGACGUCGCCAGACAUCGAUGUCUCUCGAGUUCCCUUGUUUCAUGAUGGCAACUGGAGGGAGUCAUGGUAGAUGUCAUGGCCCUAGCUUUUAGGGGAAAUGUUAUAAAUAAUGCUCAGUUAAAUCACCUACUCAGUGAACUGAAGGUGAUCGUUUGGAAAAGUUGGGCCCAUUAGUGUUCAAAACUGUGACUGACAGUAUUUUGUGGAACAUUUGUGUGAUCUGUGCUCUGAAAGUGAGUUGAACCUUCAUCGAUCUCAUGUCAGCAAGGAAGAAUGAUUGUGCUUCCUUAUGACUGCUACAAAGUAGUAGCAAUGUGAUCUUUUUUCAUCUUUUAUUUAGGUUUCUUCCUGUAAGCUGUGUCAUUUCUUCUGGGUGCAAACACAGUACAGCAUUUUUUAGGCAAUACAUGGAAUUUCUUAACACUUCAUACUGUAGGACCAUUGUAACCAGAUCUGUAGCAUGUAAGCAGCAAGUUGGGGAAAAUGUCAUUUUUGAACGUAAAGUGUCAGAGUAAUUGACACGUAAAUUAUUUAAAUAAUAGCACUUUAUUUUUAAAUUCAUGACUGAUUAGCAAAUUUGCUGUAAAUUUUGUAUGCUGAAUUAUACAAAUAAGGAGGAUAGGCUGAUGGAGUGUUGACUCAUUUACUUUGUGCAUACUCAUUCUCUUAUGUGAAUGUAUCUGUAACUUCAUCAAAAUGGUUGAAGUCUGCCAUGUAUUUCUUGCAUUUUCUGCAGGACUAUAUACUUCGGUAUUUCCUACGUUACUUAUUCAGUUUAGGGUUGUGUUUAUAGUAUUACUGAUUUUUUUUUCACAAUAGGUUUUAGAUACUGCCAUUGUGUUAAAUUAUUAAAAAUAAAUUUGUGAAUUUUGGGUGGCUUCUUUGAAAUAAACAUUCCUUGUUUGAAUGAGUUUGUAACAUACAUUGCAGUAUUAGUGAAGUGUCACUUUCUUUGGCUUUAUUGCAUUCUGUUAGAUCUGUCCAUAUUUUUUAAAUUUAUAAAAUACAGUAAUAAAGGUGUAAGAUCCUAUGGAAUCACUGAAUAAAAUAAGAAUUUUAGAUUUGUAUGAUUGAAAUGG